rnacentral:rRNA from 1 species
AGAGUUUGAUCAUGGCUCAGGACGAACGCUGGCGGCGUGCCUAAUACAUGCAAGUAGAACGCUGAAGAGAGGAGCUUGCUCCUCUUGGAUGAGUUGCGAACGGGUGAGUAACGCGUAGGUAACCUGCCUUGUAGCGGGGGAUAACUAUUGGAAACGAUAGCUAAUACCGCAUAACAAUGGAUGACACAUGUCAUUUAUUUGAAAGGGGCAAUUGUUCCACUACAAGAUGGACCUGCGUUGUAUUAGCUAGUAGGUGAGGUAAUGGCUCACCUAGGCGACGAUACAUAGCCGACCUGAGAGGGUGAUCGGCCACACUGGGACUGAGACACGGCCCAGACUCCUACGGGAGGCAGCAGUAGGGAAUCUUCGGCAAUGGGGGCAACCCUGACCGAGCAACGCCGCGUGAGUGAAGAAGGUUUUCGGAUCGUAAAGCUCUGUUGUAAGUCAAGAACGGGUGUGAGAGUGGAAAGUUCACACUGUGACGGUAGCUUACCAGAAAGGGACGGCUAACUACGUGCCAGCAGCCGCGGUAAUACGUAGGUCCCGAGCGUUGUCCGGAUUUAUUGGGCGUAAAGCGAGCGCAGGCGGUUUGAUAAGUCUGAAGUUAAAGGCUGUGGCUCAACCAUAGUUCGCUUUGGAAACUGUCAAACUUGAGUGCAGAAGGGGAGAGUGGAAUCCCAUGUGUAGCGGUGAAAUGCGUAGAUAUAUGGAGGAACACCGGUGGCGAAAGCGGCUCUCUGGUCUGUAACUGACGCUGAGGCUCGAAAGCGUGGGGAGCGAACAGGAUUAGAUACCCUGGUAGUCCACGCCGUAAACGAUGAGUGCUAGGUGUUGGAUCCUUUCCGGGAUUCAGUGCCGCAGCUAACGCAUUAAGCACUCCGCCUGGGGAGUACGACCGCAAGGUUGAAACUCAAAGGAAUUGACGGGGGCCCGCACAAGCGGUGGAGCAUGUGGUUUAAGUCGAAGCAACGCGAAGAACCUUACCAGGUCUUGACAUCCCGAUGCUAUUUCUAGAGAUAGAAAGUUACUUCGGUACAUCGGUGACAGGUGGUGCAUGGUUGUCGUCAGCUCGUGUCGUGAGAUGUUGGGUUAAGUCCCGCAACGAGCGCAACCCCUAUUGUUAGUUGCCAUCAUUCAGUUGGGCACUCUAGCGAGACUGCCGGUAAUAAACCGGAGGAAGGUGGGGAUGACGUCAAAUCAUCAUGCCCCUUAUGACCUGGGCUACACACGUGCUACAAUGGUUGGUACAACGAGUUGCGAGUCGGUGACGGCGAGCUAAUCUCUUAAAGCCAAUCUCAGUUCGGAUUGUAGGCUGCAACUCGCCUACAUGAAGUCGGAAUCGCUAGUAAUCGCGGAUCAGCACGCCGCGGUGAAUACGUUCCCGGGCCUUGUACACACCGCCCGUCACACCACGAGAGUUUGUAACACCCGAAGUCGGUGAGGUAACCUUUUGGAGCCAGCCGCCUAAGGUGGGACAGAUGAUUGGGGUGAAGUCGUAACAAGGUA